GCCGAUGCCUGAGUGGCUUAAAGCACCGGAUUAAUAUUCCGGCGUGCUUUCUGAGCACCGUGGGCUCGAAUCCCACUCGCCCCGCU
rnacentral:tRNA from 1 species